rnacentral:lncRNA from 1 species
GCCAGCCUGUUAGCCUUUAUCGUUCAGUCAUUUUAGACCUCAAAAAGAACAUUCCAUCAAGGGAUCAGGUUCUAUCAUCUCACUGGAAUGCAAUUUAAGACAUCAUCUCCAGAAAACUGUGCUAGUUGGCAUCCAGCAGUGCCCAAGUAUUAUUUAACCCACUAGAACCUGUGACUGCAUCAGCUUUAUAUCCUGGACCUCAGCCUGGAACAAAGGAGAGCUACACUUGGAUACUAAACACAAGUGGUCUGGAUAGAUUAUGCUGGGAAAAGAAGCCUGGAGCAGGCAGUACAGUGGGAGAACAAGGAGAGAAUGGAGUUGCAGCAGACUGCUCAGGAAUUGUACAUCACCAGUAGCUUCUGUCUCAGCUAAGUGUGGGAGACUGAUACUGAUGAGCCAUUAACAAUGGUGGAGAUUCUGAAUCACUGAAGCACUUGAUAAAAGAAAUGUCGUGGGUGAUGUGAAAAUCUACAUAUGCCCAUGAGAGUAUAUUGAGUUUGUAAGUGUUGUUGCUUAGUGUGUCACAGAGAAGUUUAUAAGAAACUAUUUUGGAGUAAGAAACAACACAGAAGAACACAGUUUCAGCCUGAAAUGGCUUAUUUAGCCACUGACCAUCAGAAACAAUUACUUUUUACCUUAACCUAGAUUUGUAAUAGCAGGAUGCAUUGAAUUCCUUCAUUGAAGUGAAACCUUAGCAAAUCUUUAAGUAGUACUCUAAAGUGACAAAAGGUGUUUACAUUUACUAAUGUAAAUUUCUUGUGGAGAUAAAGUUUUUAUUCUUCUUGGGUCUCAAGACUGCUCAAGAAGGAACCAUCGUUUGUUCUACACUGCUCUGUUCUAAAUGUUUGUUCCCCCAAUAUUCAUAUGUUGAAAUUCUAACCCCCAAGGAGAUAGUAUUAGGAGGUGGGGCCUUCGGGACAUGAUAAGGUCAUGAGGAUGAAGCCCUCAAGAAUAAGAUUCAUUGCCUUAUAAAGAAAAACCAGAAAGAUCCCUCAUUUCUUCAAUCAUAAGAAGACACAUGAGCAAGAAGACGGCCAGCUAUGAAGCAGGUCGUGGGCCCUCGCCAGACACUGAAUCUGCCAACACUUUGAUCUUGGAUUUCCUAGCCUGCAGAACUGUGAGAAAUAAAUUUCUUUUCUUUA